rnacentral:rRNA from 1 species
AUUGAACGCUGGCGGCAGGCCUAACACAUGCAAGUCGAACGAGUGGCGGACGGGUGAGUAAUGUCUGGGAAACUGCCUGAUGGAGGGGGAUAACUACAGGAAACGGUAGCUAAUACCGCAUACCAUCAGAUGGGCCCAGUUGGGAUUAGCUAGUUGGUGGGGUAACGGCUCACCAAGGCGACGAUCCCUAGCUGGUCUGAGAGGAUGACCGGCCACACUAGAACUGAUACACGGUCCAGACUCCGACGGGAGGCAGCAGUGGGGAAUAUUGCACAAGGGGCGCAAGCCUGAUGCAGCCAUGCCGCGUGUAUGAAGAAGGCCUUCGGGUUGUAAAGUACUUUCAGCGGGGAGGCGUUACCCGCAGAAUAAGCACCGGCUAACGCCGUGCCAGCCGCCGCGGUAAUUC